GGUUUAGCUCAGCUGGUUAGAGCAUGGUGCUCAUAAUGCCAAGGUCAUGGGUUCGAUCCCCGUAUGGGCCA